AGUAAUCUCAAACUGCGAACCAAGUGUCACGACCCGAUCUAUGGGCCCGUGAUCGGCACUAGGGAAUGGGUAGGCGUAAGGCCACCAUAUCCCGUAGUAAGCCUGACUAUUCACUAACUCAAACAAUUUGCAAUUUAAAUUUUAUCUGUUGGCACUUUUCCACAAUUAAACUUUAGCCACCAGAUACUACAAAUUAAAUUUGGUCUGCUAGCAUAAUUGGGCAAGACCUGAAUUUAUAUAAUGUUACAAAAAGGUAAAUCUAGAAUUUCUACUGCGGAGAUUCUAGAAUUUUAAAAGUCAACAUACCAAUAAAGUCAAUUACGUUUAACCCGAAGAUGAAGAAAUCGAGCUGCUAGAGGAAAAGAUUUGCAAAAAAACUAUCAACACCUGAAAAAAAGUGAAAUUGAGACUGUCAGUCUUGAGAGUGAGUUAAAAUCAUAUAUUCCAAAAACAAAAACAAACACUUCAAUAAAAUAUUUGUUUAAUUAUAAUAAACUAUUAAGUCAUGCAAAAUUACGUGUCAUGCCAUGUUUCUAUAAAAUAAAUUUCACAAAGUGUACUAUGGGAUGGAGUACAUCAGUAAAACCCUAAUCCCCAUUACUAAUAGCCUUAGCCUUUCGGCUCUCUCGUUCCAGCAGAACUGGCGCCCAGAGAGCAAAGCUCGACCAAGGUCCUUAAACCAGUAUGGUCACUUAUAUUUCCAACAAAGCCAGCGCCCAGAGAGCAAUGCUUGACCAGGGACCUUUACUUCGGCAAACUCACUAUACUUAGUCCAGAGAGUUAAACUCGACUAGGGCAAGUCCUAAAUUUACCUUUUAAUAUCUGUCUCAGAUUCAUACCGGUGCAUACGCGGUCCUGAUGCAACCCAUUAGGUGACAUUUUUUACUGCCAUCUCAUCCUGAGUUAACAUGCAUUUUCAAUAGCAUUGAUGCAGAAAAUGAUACAUGUAUGGAUAGUAAUUAAAUAAAUAAUUAAAAUAUUAAAUCAUUUAAUCAGAAUUACGUAAAAUCUUAGCAUGACACAUGUAAACAGAUAUACGAUUUUAACUCACAGUUCUGACGAUCUCCUAGCCCUACUCCGAUGCCUCGGGUGGAGCGAGCCGAACUGACGGAUUUAUCUAAUCACGGGAACAAUUCAAUCAGAAAAGUAUAACAUUUGAUAAAUAACCCUAGGCCUAGACUCCUAGAACUCCAUAUCUAAGAAUUUCGACUCGGAAGAAUUCUAUCGAAAAUUUGGUAGAAUCUCCCCUAAAUAUGGACAUUUAGCCCCCGUAAAACGGGUCCAGAACCUGCCAAAAACACUUCAAAUAUACUGCGAUUAAUUAACAGGUGUUGGGACACCCAAACUGCAUUAAUCUUUCCAACUCUGCAAUGCAUCACAAAUCACAUAUUGACAAACGGUCCAACACACUAUUUAUUUCGGCCAACAAUCCUCACAUAAUUUUUCUAAUGCUAAACGCAAUAGUUAAUUAUAUAAUUUUUCUCAACAAACUAUAAAAUCAUCAGGCUAGAGAAUUACCGAGACGCUUGAUAACUCGGUCGACUCGCCUCCAGCUACUGGAGUCCGAUCGACGAUCCGAACGCGCCUACGGACUUGAAACAAUGCACUAAUGAUGAUUCCAACACUGAUCUUCCGAUCUGACCCCCCAAUCAUUCGGAGAAAUUUACGGACGAUCUCGGUCGUUGAUUUUCAAACGGAGUCCAAUCGACGCGAAACUGCUGCCAUUGGAAAGCUUGAGCUGAGAGGGGUCCAGAUAUGCCCUUUGAUCAGCCAAAGCUCGCCGAAGACGACCAAAAAAGCUAAAAAAUUCUGUUGUCGUCACUUCACCGAAACUCUUUCCUCCGGCCACUAACGCUGACGCUGCUACCCCUAAAAGGAAGCCCUCAACUCACCGGUCAUUUUAAGACCAACCUUGCCGCCAAAGGACGCUGGAAACGCCUAAAAUGGCGUUGAAAAGCCGCAGUUGCUUCCUCGCGUUCUCCCGCAGGCGCUGCCAGCUGGAGCCGCUGCCGCUACACCUUCGGCCAGCUUUGAGGCGCCUCCGAAGCAUGCCACCACCGGCUGGACGACGCAACCGCUACUUCCCUUCCUCUUCCCUAUCCCACGUCGAUCUCUUCUCCUUCUUUUCUUUCUUCUCUAUAUUGACAUUUGGUCCCUCAAUUUUUCUUAUUUUCCAUUUAGUCCCUCAACUUUAUUAAUUACUAAAAAUUUCGCCUUGUAAAAUUUUCGUUUAAUCCUCCAACUAUUUUUUAGCUUUUCAAUUAAGCCCCUAGCUACUUAAUUUGGGCCAAAUUAAAAUUAUUAAAAAUAGAGAAUUACUUAUUUACCCUUGCUUUUAAAAGUAAAAUUACCAAAGUGCCCUUAUCGACAUAUUAAAUUACAAAAAUACCAAUCAUACAAAUUUUCAUUUAAAACUCGAGAUUAAAGCAAUUAUAUUCUUAAUCCUUAUUCCAAAAUUAAUUGUCAAUUUAAUCCUAAUACUUAAUUAACUUAGUUAAUCAAUUUACUAACUAUUUUUCAAUUAAAAUCAACACCAUUAGCUAAUUAAGAUUUGCUAUUCCCUAAUAAAUUCUUUUAUAAAAAUAUUAUUUACCAAUUCUUUCACAACUUUCAAAUAUAGAAUUCAAUUCAUAUACUCAUAUGGGAAGAAAAUUAAGUAAACAAAAAUAUAAUUUAUUGCCCAAGAAAUUUACUUAAUUAAUUUCUUAAAAAUCAAACUAAUUAGAUAUAGAAAAAUAACUCUCUUAUUUUUAUCUAGCAUUAAAUUCUAUUUUAAAUCAUCCUAAAUAAAUUAAUUAAAAAUGAAGUAAUAUUAAUUUAAUAAAACUUGUUAUUAAUUAUUACUAAUAUUACUAUUAUUAAAAGAAAAAUUCUGAAUAUUACACCAAACGUGCAUCUUUGAGCCGACAUCUUUGAUUAGUUGAGCAACUGCAUCAAAAGCACACUUUGAUAAAUGGUGAUCAGCCUUGAUAUUUAGCAUUCUAAAGACUAAAGAUAACUAUGAAUGGGUCUGACAUUUGGGCCACAACAAAUUAUAUGUUGCAUGUAGCAUGUCAGAUAAAUUUUAUGCCUCCAGAUUAGAAAUCUCUUACUCAUCAAAAUUGGGAUUGAAUGAAGGUCUUAUAGCAUCCAUCACUAUUUUGUAGUACUGGUUGUCAACUAUUUUUGCGGGUUCUUUAGAUAGAAAAACUGGUUGAUUUUCAGUGGUCCUUGCCUCUGUCUCCUUGUUUCUUGUUCAUACGUAAUAUCCCGGUAAGCCAUAUCUCAAAAGAAGUAAUUUCACUGGUUAAACAUCUAGGUAUUGGCGGUCCUAACACUUAUUGUGUGGACAUGGACCCUUUAUUUUUGGUUUGUCCAUACAUUCUGGAUGAGUGCACGUGGAAUCAAUGAAUUUGUUAAUACCGUCGAUAAACUUAGGAUUAGGAACAUUUAUUGGCCUUUGAUACAUCUAGCUUCAACCUCACUUAUGUUUUUCUAUAAUAACAACACAUAAAUGCAUGUCAAUUAAUUAACUAAAGUCGUGUACAAGAUUGAGAUUGAUUCAAGAAUAGCUUCAAUUCAAGAAUAAAGCCCUAUUUUUAAUAACUCACUAAGUUUGAUAUAGAAAUAAUAAUAAAUGUCAAAUUUUUUUAUUUUCUCUUUUUCGCCUUUCCUAUGUUACUUUGUACUAUUAAUAAAUUCUUUAAAUAAUGCCAAAGAAAAAAAUGAAAAGAAAGUGAGGGAAAAAAAAAACACGGAAAUGACUUCAGACGUGCAUGUUUGAACCAAAUAAUCUGCAUGUGAAUAUAGAUGUUUGAUUAUAAUAGUAAUGCCUCAAAGAAUAAUCAUUUUUUAUUUCUUUACAAUCAUCCUAUUGAGGUCUGAAUAUUUUGCUAUUUUUAAAGAGAUGAUUAUUUAUUUAAGUCUUAAUACUAAAAUUAUAAUAGUUAUUUAUUAUGCAUAUACUAGUUAAGCUAACAAAAUUAUAGAGUUGUCGCCAAUUUAUAACAUUGCCAUUUUAAAAACUCUAACCUAAUAGAUUUAUAACUCAAAACUCUAAGUUAAGUACAAAUAGCAUUCCUAAAGAAACCUAUGGAGAACUAUUUUGGAGGGUUCUAAUCAAUUUUAACUUAAGAUCUAAUUAAUCUUCAAGCUUGUACUAAUUACUUUUGGAGCAAAGUGGACUUGAUUGUUGUUUUGACGGAAGGUGGGAUGGGAUCCUCCCUAACUUACAUGGUACUAAGCAGACAAAUAAGGAGAAGGUUUCUAGAAAUUAAUUCUUCUAAAAACUUUAUGCACGAUAUGGCAUGACAAGUCUUUGUGCAAUUAAUAACUAAUAUUAUUUCUUUAGAAAUUUGUAUAUUACGGUUUCAUAAAAAAUAAAAAAAAAAUAAAAAUAAAAAAAACUGUAUACUAGCAUCCUUCCUUUCAUAACUAGCAAUAGCUAUAAAAUACUUUGUACAUCGGGUGAGCCCUUUAAAUAUAAUCAGUAGAAAGUAUAUAAUAGAAUCAUAUUACAAAAGCAACUUUAUUCAGCUUAUAUACUAUAUGAUUUAUCUUUAUAAUCUUAUUAAAAGGUUCAUGUUUACUUUAUACUAAUCCAUCUUUCAUCUUUGUAUAUCUAGUACUUUACAAAUUUUGAAAAUAAUUACUAGACAUGGCAAGAUAGGAAUCGAGGGACAUUCUAUUCAUAACAUCCAAAUUGAACCGUAACAAAAUCAUUUACUAGUAUUACAAGAAAAUCAUGGUAUAAAUUUAAUCACAAGAUCAAUAACGUAACAUAUCCUCAACAGUAAAAUAAAAUCAGUAACAUUUCUAAUUUAAAUUAUUCACCAAAAAUUCUAAUAAAAUAAAAAAGCUAACCAUAAAAAAAUUCAUUUGAUUCACCAUUACAAAAUUUUAAAAAAAGGUCCAUUGUUAUUCACUAACAUUAACCAAAAACAGUAACAAAUUCAUUUUCUUCAUUAAUGAAUUGCUGCUUAAACAAUGCUAACAGUAAGAUACAAUCAACGAUGAUUUGAGGAACACAUCUUAGAAUACAAAGCCAACCUCGAACAACAAUGAGAGAAGGAGAAAGAAACCGAAAAUGGUUGCUAAACCUAUAAGAGAAUCGGAUAAGGUUGUAGAUUUUUAUGAAUGAAGAGGAAGAGAAACUUGACGAGAGGAUAGAGAGAGACUGAUUUUUCAUACCCCCAAAGAGAGAAAGAGACGUUGAGCAGCGACGCACAAGAGGAAGAAAAAAUAGCAACACUGGAGACUAGUGGCCCUACCAAUCAAUUAGGGAUUUAGUCUAUUUUGUAUGAAAACUGUUGGGAGAGGAGGAAAAAGAGCUUCUAUUCGAUAUUUUUCACAGAUAGAGACCACAUCUCUAUUGGUCUCUGAUGUGGCCGCUAAAAUAAGGCAAAGUGUAAGUUGGACUACCGUUUCAUUUAGCUAAAACAGUAACUAUAACACCCCAACUCAAACUUCCCAUUGAAUAGCAAUAUAUAUAUAUAUAUAUAUAUAUAUAUAUAUAUAACUUUAUAAACAUAAUUUACUACUUAGUUACAAUAUACAUUCAUACAAUUUAAGUGGCAUGACAUACUUAAUAUAUAUAAGAAAUAUUUAUACAGUAGUUUAAUUCACACAAGUUCCCAAAAUGCCCCAAUGCUUUAGAUAACUCCUCUGGCCCACCUGAUAAUAUUGACUGAUGCAAAAAGAGCAAUGCACAACUAAGGCUAUCUACAACUGCACUAACCUGAAAAAAAAAAUUGCUAAGGAAUGAGCUAGCGACUCAAUAAGCAUUUAAUUUACUAAACUAUAGUAUAUUAGGCUAGAAUUAUCAAAUCUUUAUCAAUACAGAAAAUUAUACCAACACUUAACUAACAAUCACAAAAUCAACCAUUUCAGUUAUUCUCAUAAACAUAUAAUUUCAUCUCACGUAAUGCAAAUAAUCUCAAACUCAACCAAGUCAAAUAAUUCAAUUCUACAUUAUUUCUAUCAAAUUAGGAUCAGAUGACUCAUCCUUACAUUUCCUCACAUUUUUAAAUUUCAGUAACCACUUGACAAGACUAUCCGCCCGGCUCAGUCUUGCCAUCUCACAUACUCGGGUAGCUAUCCGCCCGGCUCAGCUUUCCCGAUCACACAAUAUCCAUACAAAAGUCAUCAAUCCUUAAUCACAAUCAUUUCACUUCACAACACAUCACAAUCAAUUCACUUUAUAACAAGCCAAAAACAUAACUAAUAUCAACUCAGUCAACCAAGAAAUUAUCAAGUAAUCAAACAGCAGUCCCUACUCAAUAUACACAAAGUUUAGUCUAUUAAAUACUUACCAGAAGUUAUAGGAUAACAAAGUAAUCCUAUUCUUUUUCUCUUACCACUUCCUUGCCUUUGGAUGAAC
rnacentral:lncRNA from 1 species